AAUUCUCAACCCAUAUCCUAUCUCCAUCCAGGAAGCUGAAACGCUGAUGUUCUUGAAGGUGGGGAAAGAAGAAAUCCUCUCCCCUCCUAGAAGACAGAGCAACCCUGCCUAGGGAAGAAGGAAAAAGAAGACAAAGACAGGAUUCUGCGUUCCAAGAACUCUCUGAUCCUGAAGCUCAUUUCUUUUCCAUUUUAAGAGUAUUCUUCUUUAUACAUCUAUGUAUUUAGAUUCUACCCUCAGUCCAUUCUCUUCUCACUCCACUAACUCUCCUAACAAAAGCUCCAAACAAUUGGCUCCAACAUCCAGGGUGGACUCAAGUUUUAUAAGGGCAGAAAUGUAUACAAUUAAAAAAGAAUAUAAAUUUGAAAAUGCAAAAUUAGAUAUAAAAGUAACGGCUUAUGAAGAAUGAGACAACACAACCCCUUAGUGAUGUCAUGGCUGGUCUCAGGCACCACCCAGUCAGGACCCCCUCCACUGUCAUAGGUUAUAGAUCUAAGCUGUCACUGCCAACAAAGCUAUGAUUCUGACCUAACUCCCACUCAGUCCAUUUUCAUGUAAUCAUGCUUUAGAAAAUUACUUCUUUCACUAAUAAGGUGCCUGGUCAGUUGGGAGAAUUCACCAAUGCUUAUGAGUCUUUUGUGCAAUAUUUCAUUAAGCAUUUUCAAUAUUCUGGUUGAUAACUAAAGGAAGAAAUGAACACAGUUAUGUCUGGCAAUGAUUAUAAAAACAUAAUAAAAAUUAAAAUCCUCUGGACAA
rnacentral:lncRNA from 1 species